GGGCCCUUAUUGGGUGGUUGGGGGAAGGAGGGGAAGAUGGCGGCGUGAGAGGAAGAAGUGGAGCGGUAGCCGCGGGCUGCGGCCCGGGGGCCUUAGCUGAGGUCCAUGCGUGCACCAAGUAGUUGGGCAGUCAAACUGGGCAGCUGGAUUACUGAGGAUUGAAAAGCAUGAAUUCUUGGUUAUGAAAUUUGUGUAGCCACUUAACAAAAGAACGUAUGUGAUGAUCUUGAGAUGAUGGGAAACUGGACAAAAACUUAAACAUUGAAAUUCAACAGAUGUGAAUCCUUUCCUGUUGAUUCAUCAAAGACUGGUUGUGAAGCCUGGCCUAUUUACAAAUUCACUUGUGGUGAAGAAAACGCCGUCCUUUAUCUCCAUAAGGGAAAAUGAAGAAACAUUGUUCUUUUUCUGUUUCAACUUUUUUAACAUAAAAUUCAAAAUAUGAACCAUGUAAUAGACAGUAUAUAUAAUAUAUAUACUGUAUACACAGUAUAUAUAUUAUUGCCCUUGCAGAGCAGCCAUCCAAAUGAAUGGUUGACAUUUCAAAGAGACAGCAUCCACUAAUGCCUACUCUUUGAUCAGUGUUUUUGCACUCUAGAAAGGACUGUUCAUAUAGAUACAGACAAAAUGCCUGUUCCAAUUGACAACUUGCUCCCUUCAGAAUAUCCUAGUUAAGUAUUUGCCUGCUCCCUACAUAACAUUUGGAAUGCUUUGAUUAGAUAUCGAAAACCUUUUUGUAUAAAAGAUCCAGGUAGAAAAGUCUAAAUAUAUUUGUAUUCUAAAGUGAAUAAUAACUUUCAAAAGGAAAUGAAAAGAACUUGGAAAAUUCCUCAGUGAACAUUUUUCUUCUGUAGAGGGUCACUAUAUAGAUAAGCAUCUUGAUGACUGAGUAAAGCAGCUGAUGCACAGCAGCUGAUAGUUAUUUGUUUUAUAAACUAAUUUUCAAAACUGAAACAAAUGAUCCAAACAGUCUGCUCAUAUAAGCCUGCAUAAAUGCUGGAAAGGGAGAUGUUACUGUGCGUCACUGUUCUUGUAAGUCCCUAUCCAAGCCUUCAAAAUUUAAACGUAUAAAAGCAGUCCCAGAGAUACUUAAGGUUAUAUGGUAUACCCCCAAUGUUCCCUAGGGAAUUUGACUGCAAAAGGAACAAUAUCUUUGCACAAGUCAUGCACUUACCCAAAGGGAACAGUGGAUAUAAAGACUUAUGUAAAACUUUCCAUCAGAGGAUCAGAAGAGUAGACAUGCUCGGGAAGGGCUUCAUCACUAGUUCUCUAGUGCGUCAUCCACAUUUAAGGUGGACAUCAUGAUUUCUACGUGUUUACAGAACAGUCUUGUCUCUCUUAUUUGUGAUUUGUACAGGACCCACCCACCCCCGCCAUUAAUAGUUGAUCUUUAGCCACACUUCACCAGGGUAUGUAGCUUCCUGGUUUGGUUUUUAAGUAACACAUUUUCGUGUCAGACCCCGGAGCCCUUUGUAAUGCACCUUACAUCAGUCUCACUAAAUGUGAAUUUACGUUUGCCACUGUUUUGUUAAAAUUGCCUGUCUGGAUUUAAAAUAGGAGUACAUAUAAUAGACAGUUGCAGCUAACAAAAUCUUUGAAUGCUAUUUGAUGGUUUGAGUUAGUUAGUGAAAGCAAUAACACCAUAUUGCAAAGGAAAGAUGAACAAAAGUAGUGACUGAUUAAUUGGAAUGCCUAUUUCCUCCUUUGAAAAUCACUAAAAUAGUUUUAAUAGGAACAGCAUACUAA